rnacentral:lncRNA from 1 species
GCGUAAAACAUACAAAAAAAUGAGAUUAAGAAAAGAGGAACAAAAGAUACCAGAGGUCCAUUCAAACUCAUAGAUCGUAAAAAAACUGAGAACGCCAUGGCUAAAACAGAAAAACAAACAAAUAAUAGUACACAAGACACAACAUAGAAACAAAACUAAGCAACACGAACCCCACAGAAACUGAGAGUGAUCUCAUGUGCUCCGG